UAGGGAAUCUUCGGCAAUGGACGAAAGUCUGACCGAGCAACGCCGCGUGAGUGAAGAAGGUUUUCGGAUCGUAAAACUCUGUUGGUAGAGAAGAACGUUGGUGAGAGUGGAAAGCUCAUCAAGUGACGGUAACUACCCAGAAAGGGACGGCUAACUACGUGCCAGCAGCCGCGGUAAUACGUAGGUG
rnacentral:rRNA from 1 species